CCGGAUCGAUAAAGAUAACUAGAAGAGGAGAGUUGUUGCUGGAACUCGAAGAUGAGAUAACCAAUUAAAAAUAAAAAUAAAGCGUAUAAAAAUUCUAUGAUUAUUCACAAAAAUUAUAACUGUAAAAGGAGUUAAAUAGGAAUGAAAGCGCGGAGAGAAACGCUCAAGAAUAGCAUAUAAAAUAACAUGCAGUGUCAUUCUUAUGUGUAUAGUUUUUCUGCGCCAUUCUGCGGUUUCAGCAUGAUUUAAAUGAUUUAAACCCCCUUUCACGCAGAGCCAAUUUUGCUAUUUAAAGUUAACCUCCGUCAGUUGUGCUCGAAUUGUGAAAACUGCAACUAGAUUUCUAGGUGAAAGGCGGAAGGAAAUCUAAAUUAUCGCAUAAUGAGCGAGGACGCCAAUCAAUUGAGUAAAUAUCUAAAGCAUUCGCUGAAAACGGCGCCUAAAUCGAAUGUGCUGGAAUGUCGUGUCUGCGAAGAAGUUUUCAGCGUGGAUGGUGUGAAAGUACCACGUUUACUGCACUGUGGACACACAGUGUGCCACGCUUGUCUGUUACGAUUGAGAAAUUGCAUGCAAGAUCAACAGUUUCUGCUGUGCCCUUUUGAUCGACAACCUACUGCUAUCCAUGAGAACAGUGUCUACAGUCUGAAGAAGAACUUUGCUCUUAUCGAGCUGCUCGAAAGACUAGAGCAAUCCAAUAGUGACAAGACGGUGGUGCUGGAACGUGAGAGGCAUCAGUCAAAUCAGUUGUGCGAUGAAGAUGAAGCUCACACAGCUGUUCUCUACUGCACAGUUUGUGCCACGCAUCUGUGUGAGACGUGCGACACCGCCACACACUCGUCUAAAACAUUAGGCAAACACAGACGAGUGCCAUUGUCAGAGAAGCCACGUGAGAAGCCUCGCUGUUCGAUACACAUGGAACAUGUGGCAGAGUUUACGUGCACCCAAGAAGGCUGUCAUAAUUCCUUGAUGUGUUACUUGUGUAAAGAGUAUGGCAAACACAGCACACACAAGCCGGCAUUAGUAAAGGAGGAGGCCGAGAACAUCAGGAAGUCCAUUAUUGGAGCGUUGCAGAAAAUGACACAAUUUAUGGAAAGCAUGAGAGACACUGCCCACAAAAUAGAAAUAGUGAUUGAAGAAUUGGAAGGCUGGGCAAUAGAAGACGCGAGGAGGAGAGUGCGGUAUCAUUUUGAGGAACUACGAACCGUUCUGGCCGAACAGGAGAAAACAGCGAUGGCGUACAUUGAGACAGAGACUCGUGGUAGAUUGUGCGCCCUGAGACAGCAACAGAAAGAUCUCACAACCACGAGGUCGCAUGUAGCCGGUGUGUGUAUUCAAUGCGAGAGCAUACUCGAUUCCGAAGACUGGAAAUUAUUGAGUAAUUCAGAAAAAGUCAAGGAGGUUCUGGCGACUUUGGAGCAGCAGCAACAGCAUUACGCGCAAUUAGGACCAGAUUUUCUCAGCCCCGAGUCCUCCAUACCAAUUAUAUUUAGCAGGGAUAAUAGAAUACAUAUUGGAACAAAGAUCGAUAUGCGAGUAGUGAUCUUAGGACUGGACGGGGCGGGAAAAACAAGUAUUCUAUCCGCCAUGCGUGGUGUCACGUUGUCAAGUCCACCGAUUCCCACUAUCGGCUUCAAUGUCGAGAGCUUAGAAUAUAUGAAUCUCGUGUUUACUCUCUGGGACGUCAGCGGCCAUCAGAAAUUCAGGCCACUGUGGAAACAUUAUUACCAUAAUACACAAGCUGUCAUUUUUGUAGUCGAUGCCAGUGAUAGGUCUCGUUUUGAAGAAGCACAGAAUGAAUUAUCGAAGAUACUUUAUGAACGAGAACUGAAGGAUGCUCUACUUUUAAUUUACGCUAAUAAACAGGAUAUAGCAGGUUGUGCAAGCGUUGAGGAGCUAGUUGAUAUAUUUGGUUUGCAUAAACUUUGCUGUGCCAGAGUAUGGCAUAUUCAGGGUUCAUCUUUAGUUACUAAUGCCAGUGGUACUCUGCAGGGUCUCGAUUGGCUUUUGACACAAUGCGUAUAGAGUGUUCUUGUUUUUUGUAUGGAACUAUAUAAGAGUAAGAAGUCGAAGGAACAUGUUUACUUAUGUGGCUUCCACAUAGGGACAGAUCAAACUGAACUGAAAUUAGAUUUCGUCAAUGUACGAGGUAAAUCUGCUCUUUCAAGUUGCGUUAUACCAAAAAGAAAUAAUGCUUAUAUCCCAAAAUAGUUUCAAAUAUCAAUAUCGCUUUAUUUUCCAACACAAAAGUUGAACUACAAGAUUUAACUGUAUUUAAAACACAAUACUACAAAAUAACAUGUAUAUGUAUGUAUAUAUAAAAACGAAAUUAGAAGCAAUUUAUAUAGUUGAUUUGUACACAUUCCUAUAGACAAUAAGGAUGGAUUAGAUUAAUUUGAUUGAAAGGAAUGUUUAGGACCCAUGAAAAUAAAUUCUGACCACAUAUCUAGAAAA